UACGUAGGCAGCGAGCGUUGUUCGGAAUUACUGGGCGUAAAGAGUGUGUAGGCGGUGCUCUAAGUCUGUCGUGAAAUCUCCCGGCUUAACUGGGAGGGUGCGGCGGAAACUGGAGUGCUAGAGGGUGGGAGAGGAAAGCGGAAUUCCUGGUGUAGCGGUGAAAUGCGUAGAUAUCAGGAGGAACACCUGCGGUGUAGACAGCUUUCUGGACCGCUUCUGACGCUGAGACACGAAAGCGUGGGUAGCAAACAGG
rnacentral:rRNA from 1 species